rnacentral:tRNA from 1 species
GCGGGUAUAGCUCAGUUGGUAGAGCGCAACCUUGCCAAGGUUGAGGUCGCGCGUUCGAGUCGCGUUGCCCGCACCA